GGAAUUUUGGACAAUGGGCGAAAGCCUGAUCCAGCAAUGCCGCGUGAGUGAAGAAGGCCUUCGGGUUGUAAAGCUCUUUUGUCAGGGAAGAAACGGUGGUUUCUAAUACAGAUCACUAAUGACGGUACCUGAAGAAUAAGCACCGGCUAACUACGUGCCAGCAGCCGCGGUAAUACGUAGGGUGCAAGCGUUAAUCGGAAUUACUGGGCGUAAAGCGUGCGCAGGCGGUUUUGUAAGUCUGUUGUGAAAUCCCCGGGCUCAACCUGGGAAUGGCAAUGGAGACUGCAAGGCUAGAGUUUGGCAGAGGGGGGUAGAAUUCCACGUGUAGCAGUGAAAUGCGUAGAUAUGUGGAGGAACACCGAUGGCGAAGGCAGCCCCCUGGGUCAAAACUGACGCUCAUGCACGAAAGCGUGGGGAGCAAACAGGAUUAGAUACCCGGG
rnacentral:rRNA from 1 species